UACGAAGGGGGCUAGCAUUGCUCGGAAUCACUGGGCGUAAAGCGCACGUAGGCGGAUCUUUAAGUCGGGGGUGAAAUCCUGGAGCUCAACUCCAGAACUGCCUUUGAUACUGAGAAGCUUGAGUCCGGGAGAGGUGAGUGGAACUGCGAGUGUAGAGGUGAAAUUCGUGGAUAUUCGCAAGAACACCAGUGGCGAAGGCGGCUCACUGGCCCGGUACUGACGCUGAGGUGCGAAAGCGUGGGGAGCAAACAGG
rnacentral:rRNA from 1 species